CUCAGCUGAUUGCUGGAUGCCUUGCACUGCUUUCCUGGCCUUGGCCUCAGUUCUACAAGAGCUCCGCCUCGCUGUCAUUAUUCUUCCAUUGCUACUGGUUUCAUUUCAUCUGCUGUCCCAAGCCUGUUGCUGUUUCAUAGACAGAGAAAGACAGCGUUCUGAAGAAAAGCAGUGUGUGUAUAUUUGGCACUGCCUUGUGACAACAACAUGGGCUGCUGCCCUUCUCUGAGCAGUCAUAUUCCCAAGUGGGAUCCUGAGACUCCAGGUGUGGCUGCAGUCUGCUGGGGAGAGAUGAAAAUGCUUUUGCUUGCAUUUUGAGACCAAGCCAGGUGGCAGAGUGGCAUGUGGGUCAGGCGUGAUGUGGCAGCUAACAGUGCCUUCAGCCCUUUAACCUGGCUCAGCUCCCCAGCCAGUGAGGGACUCGAGGACAUGCUUAACUUUUUGCUGUUAAAAAUGAAACUUAGGCCUGUCCUUAGCUGUUUUGUUAAUCAGGAUUGGAUUUAAUCACGUUUUUUUAAGCUAUUGUCUUAGACCUUUGGAUUGUUGUUAAAACAUUUUCUGUAAGCUAUGCAAUAGAGGCCUGGUCCUUUGAAACGCCUGUCAUGCUUCCUUUAAAAUGACUAAAUGAAGUAAUAAAUGUCCAGACAUCUUUA